GUGCUUGCUUAGCAGCACAUAUGCUAAAGUUGGAAUGACACAGAGAAGAUUGGUAUGGCCCCUGUGCAAGGGUGAUAUGUAAUUUCAUGAAGUGUUCCAUAUUUUA